UGGGGGUAGGCAAGCUUUGAUGAGAGUCUGACGGAGCACGCCGCGUGAGUGAUGAAGGCUUUCGGGUCGUAAAACUCUGUUGUUAGGGAAGAACAAGUGCUAGUUGAAUAAGCUGGCACCUUGACGGUACCUAACCAGAAAGCCACGGCUAACUACGUGCCAGCAGCCGCGGUAAUACGUAGGUGGCAAGCGUUAUCCGGAAUUAUUGGGCGUAAAGCGCGCGCAGGUGGUUUCUUAAGUCUGAUGUGAAAGCCCACGGCUCAACCGUGGAGGGUCAUUGGAAACUGGGAGACUUGAGUGCAGAAGAGGAAAGUGGAAUUCCAUGUGUAGCGGUGAAAUGCGUAGAGAUAUGGAGGAACACCAGUGGCGAAGGCGACUUUCUGGUCUGUAACUGACACUGAGGCGCGAAAGCGUGGGGAGCAAACAGGAUUAGAUACCCCGGUAGUCAA
rnacentral:rRNA from 2 species